GGUAAGUCAGAGGUGAAAGCCCGCAGCUUAACUGUGGAAUUGCCUUUGAUACUGCUCACCUUGAGUCCAGCUGAGGUAGNCGGAAUGUAGUAUGUAGCGGUGAAAUGCUUAGAUAUACUACAGAACACCGAUUGCGAAGGCAGCUUACCAAACUGGCACUGACGCUCAGGCACGAAAGCGUGGGGAGCGAACAGGAUUAGAUACCCUGGUAGUCCACGCCGUAAACGUUGAUCACUCGUUGUUGGCAAUACACCGUCAGCGACCUAGCUAAUGCGCUAAGUGAUCCACCUGGGGAGUACGAUCGCAAGGUUGAAACUCAAAGGAAUUGACGGGGGCCCGCACAAGCGGAGGAGCAUGUGGUUUAAUUCGAUGAUACGCGAGGAACCUUACCUGGGCUUAAAUGUAGUGUGCAUUCCCGUGAAAACGGGAUUUCCUUCGGGACCCACUACAAGGUGCUGCAUGGUUGUCGUCAGCUCGUGCCGUGAGGUGUCGGGUUAAGUCCCAUAACGAGCGCAACCCCUAUCUUUAGUUGCUAACAGGUCAUGCUGAGGACUCUAAAGAAACUGCCCGCGCAAGCGGUGAGGAAGGUGGGGAUGACGUCAAAUCAGCACGGCCCUUAUGUCCAGGGCUACACACGUGCUACAAUGGCAGGUACAGUGGGCAGCUAUCACGCAAGUGAAUGCUAAUCUCUAAAACCUGUCUCAGUCCGGAUUGGAGUCUGCAACCCGACUCCAUGAAGCUGGAUUCGCUAGUAAUCGCACAUCAGCCAUGGUGCGGUGAAUACGUUCCCGGGCAUUGUACACACCGCCCGUCAAGCCAUGGAAGCUGGGAGUACACUGAAGUCUGUAACCGUAAGGAGCGGCC
rnacentral:rRNA from 1 species